CAAUGGUAGUACGGCCAUU
rnacentral:misc_RNA from 1 species